UACGGAGGGUGCAAACGUUGCUCGGAAUUAUUGGGCGUAAAGCGCACGUAGGCGGACCAUCAAGUCGGUUGUGAAAUCCCUCGGCUUAACCGAGGACGUGCAUUCGAAACUGAUGGCCUUGAGUACGAAAGAGGAUCGCGGAAUUCCCGGUGUAGAGGUGAAAUUCGUAGAUAUUCGGAGGAACACCAGUGGCGAAGGCGGCUCACUGGUCCAUUACUGACGCUGAGGUGCGAAAGCGAUGGGGAGCAAACAGGG
rnacentral:rRNA from 1 species